UGCAAACUAGGUACCUAAUAUUACGUAGGUCAAUCAAUAUCUUUGACGAUAUACAUAAAUUUAUAACGUUCAACUAUUUUGAUAUAACGAGACGACUUGACCAACUAGAAUCCGGUUUAAUAUUUCCUGCAAUACAUUACGGCAAGCAAUGGAUGAUCGGCAAAUUCCCAUUCGAAUCGCCAAAUCUUCGGGCGGUUGGUGGGGAAAGUGUUUGUGUCCAUUGGCUGGCCGAAUGAAAACACGGGCACGGGAAUCUCGGUGGUGGUCCUUUCGGAUGGGAUCCUAGGAACGGAAAGUGGGCAAUUGGUCCGGCAGACAAACAAAACCACCGUCACAUCCAGCGACU
rnacentral:sRNA from 2 species